CUCAACAACUUAAAGGCACAUUUAAGUAUCCAUGACUUAUAAGGUGUAAACUGACCACAGAUUAACAGUAUGUAAACAAGUGAAUUAUUUAGGAAUGUGAUUUGAAUAUGUGCUGUUUUUCACUAUUUCUCGGAAAAAAAGUGAAGAGAUUACUAGCAAUUUAAAGAAAGUACUCCGAUAUAAAGCACCUAGUAUAUGCAUGGAACUUGUUGCCCCGAGAAUUAGGAAGGGAAGAGUCUUAACAAACCAGAGAAAGGUUUAGAUUCACGUUGUGAAUAACAGAAAGUUUAUGAACACUCAGAUUCCUCUCUAACUUUUUAAAAGGUCCAAAAACAUCAGACCAUGGAGAAGAAGAUGGGAAGCAAAGGUGAGGCUGUGCAGAGUGAAGGAGAAAUGCAUGACAGUCUGAUGGUUCCCCAAACAUAUCUUUCUGUGUCCAGACAGAGGCACGAAUACAAGACCGGGAAGACCACUAACUUCAUGGAACCUCACCUGGGAUCGCUCAUGCUGGUGAGAAGCCCUCAUGUCAUGAAGAGACUUGUACAGUCAUGGAGAAAAGCUGAGGCCUCCAACCAAAAACUAGCAUCAACCUUCCAGGCAUGUGAGUGA
rnacentral:lncRNA from 1 species